AUGAAUAAACUUGGUUAGGUUGUUGCUGGCUCUUGUGAAUUCAAGGGCAUGUGCACGCUUAGUCCAUCUUUAACCACCUGUGCACAUUCUGUAGAUCUGUGAGCUCGAGGGAUCUGAGCGCAAGCUCGUUUCCCUUUCGUGAUCAAAUCUAUGUUUUAUAUAUACUCAAUAUGAAUGUAUUCGAAUGUCAUAAAUUGGCCCUGUGCCAUAUAAAUAAAAUA
rnacentral:misc_RNA from 1 species